UACGGAGGGUGCAAGCGUUAAUCGGAAUUACUGGGCGUAAAGCGUGCGUAGGCGGCUUUCUAAGUCGGAUGUGAAAUCCCCGGGCUCAACCUGGGACGUGCAUUCGAUACUGGAAGGCUAGAGUUUGAGAGAGGCAGGUAGAAUUUCAGGUGUAGCGGUGAAAUGCGUAGAUAUCUGAAGGAACAUCAGUGGCGAAGGCGACCUGCUGGACCAAAACUGACGCUGAGGUACGAAAGCGUGGGGAGCAAACAGG
rnacentral:rRNA from 1 species